UCUUGGUCAGGACGAACGCUGGCGGCGUGCUUAACACAUGCAAGUCGAACGGUCGUGGCGAUACGAUAGUGGCGGACGGGUGAGUAACACGUGAGGAACCUGCCUUUUACAGGGGGAUAACACUGAGAAAUCAGUGCUAAUACCGCAUAAGACUACUAGAGCCGCAUGGCAAUGUAGUAAAAGGGUUAACCGGUAAAAGAUGGCCUCGCGUCCCAUUAGGUAGUUGGUGAGAUAAUAGCCCACCAAGCCAGCGAUGGGUAGCCGACCUGAGAGGGUGAUCGGCCACACUGGAACUGAGAGACGGUCCAGACUCCUACGGGAGGCAGCAGUGGGGAAUAUUGGGCAAUGGAGGAAACUCUGACCCAAGCAACGCCGCGUGAGUGAAGAAGGUCUUCGGAUUGUAAAGCUCUGUGGAUAGGGAAGAAAAAAUGACGGUACCUAUACAGCAAGCCACGGCAAACUACGUGCCAGCCGCCGC
rnacentral:rRNA from 1 species